UUGCACGCUGGCGGAAUGCUUUACACAUGCCAGUCGAGCGGCAGCACGGGGGCAACCCUGGUGGCGAGCGGCGAACGGGUGAGUAACACAUCGGAACAUGCCCAGUCGUGGGGGAUAACACUUCGAAAGAAGUGCUAAUACCGCAUACGUCCUGAGGGAGAAAGCGGGGGAUCGCAAGACCUCGCGCGAUUGGAGUGGCCGAUGUCAGAUUAGCUAGUUGGUGGGGUAAAGGCCUACCAAGGCAACGAUCUGUAGCUGGUCUGAGAGGAUGAUCAGCCACACUGGGACUGAGACACGGCCCAGACUCCUACGGGAGGCAGCAGUGGGGAAUUUUGGACAAUGGGGGCAACCCUGAUCCAGCCAUUCCGCGUGAGUGAAGAAGGCCUUCGGGUUGUAAAGCUCUUUCGGCAGGAACGAAACGGUGAGCUCUAACAUAGCUUGCUAAUGACGGUACCUGAAGAAGAAGCACCGGCUAACUACGUG
rnacentral:rRNA from 1 species